UGACAGUACUCCUACGGGGAGGCAGCAGUGGGGGAAUAUUGCACAAUGGGCGCAAGCCUGAUGCAGCCAUGCCGCGUGUAUGAAGAAGGCCUUCGGGUUGUAAAGUACUUUCAGCAGUGAGGAAGGUGGGUAUGUUAAUAGCAUACUCAUUUGACGUUAGCUGCAGAAGAAAGCACCGGCUAACUCCGUGCCAGCAGCCGCGGUAAUACGGAGGGUGCGAGCGUUAAUCGGAAUUACUGGGCGUAAAGCGCAUGCAGGUGGUUUGUUAAGUCAGAUGUGAAAGCCCGGGGCUCAACCUCGGAAUUGCAUUUGAAACUGGCAAACUAGAGUACUGUAGAGGGGGGUAGGAAUUUCAGGUGUAGCGGUGAAAUGCGUAGAGAUCUGAAGGAAUACCGGUGGCGAAGGCGGCCCCCUGGACAGAUACUGACACUCAGAUGCGAAAGCGUGGGGAGCAAACAGGAUUAGAUACCCUGGUAG
rnacentral:rRNA from 1 species